UCUCAUGUAUGAACUGGGAAGAGUCCCGGCCUCGCAGGGUGCGCACCGCAAAGUGGACCCAUGAACAAGUGGACCGUGAACAAGUGCAAUCGCCCCGAGUCCCCGGCUGACAGGAAGUACUCGGCACAGAUCCAGGGGUCAGCGGCCGAGAGUUGAGGAGGCCAGUGCAGGGCAGGGACGGUCCUCUGCACCCGUGACUCAGAGCAGAGGAAAGCUCGCUCACCCCGCAAACUACCCUGCAAUAGAGAGCGGCCAAAGCACAUGCCCGUUCCAGGAGCUCGGGGCCACCCAAGGGCAUGCACCAAAGGACACGCUGUGGCCCCAGCCAUGUCACAGAACAAGGUACCGGGAUGAGCUCACGUUGGAGCUGAGCCCGGAGCUGAGGAGAGGCAGCCGUAAAGGCACCAGGGAGUCCAGGCGGUGGCACGGCGGGCGGCCCAGAACUAGGGCGCGCGGCAGGCACGGCGGCCCCGGGUCAGACUGCGGCAGGCACAACCCUCACGUGUCAACCGAGAAAGAGAAGCUGCUGUUCGGAAGCCUCGGAGCCUGACACCUGUCACUGAGGAAGGGGACGUGCUCGGACACGCACUGGGGAGGGGACCUGAGAGGCGCCGGCCUGGAGGAACAGUGGUCAGGGCAGGGAGGGGUGGUCAGACAGACAAACCGACAGAAGACCCGACUCAGGACGUCAGGUAGGAAAGUCUCUGAGGGACACUCCUGCAGGUGGGCCCCACUGGGCUCCACCCCCAACCCCCUCGAUGCCAGCACGACCCGCACACAGCUCUGCCGCCGGUCACCACAGGAAACGGCCCUGAUGCCCAAGAGGCCGUGCCAGCUCAGCAAAAGGGAUGGCCCACUGAUGCCAGCUGGAGCUUUGGGGGACAAGUCUUCAGGCCUCCAGCCUGGGACACAGGGGCUGCCGGAUGGACUGAGAAGACAAAUACUCAGACAGAUCGAGAGCAAAACACAGAAUCGGCUGCAGGGACGGGAACUGCCAGGGAAGGAUGGGAGCCGCCACUCCUGGGUUUCCCUGCCGCAGGUGCAGGCUGCCUGCUCAGGGCGCCAGCACGCCCCCUCCCCACCACGGCUGGCACGGAGGGUUUGGUCAGUCUGCGACUCGGAUUCAGUGUCUGACAGGAAGGGGGGGCCGUCACCGGGACCUAGGGCAACCCCCAGCUCCGCUCCCCAGCUUCCUGCUCUGGCAGUCUACUGAGCCCUCAUCUUCUCUGCCAAGGGAAGAACUAAGGCGCCUUGUCGUCGCCUCUCCAGUGGCUGAAAUCCCAUCUCUACUGCUCAGAACCUGACUACCCUCCGGCAACUUUUGAGAUGCCCACAGCUUGCCCGGAUGCCCUUCUGCCACGAGCUCCUGUGCCCUGCUUGUUCUAGGAGCGCUGCUGCACCAUGUCCUGACCCGGAACCCACGCUGCCGAGGCUCGCUGCAAAGACACAGACCACCACGGGCCUGGCGGGCGCGGCAGCACGGCGGGCACGUCUCCCUAGCGUGGGCUCUCUGUUAUGCUGCGGCACACUCCUGUUCAUCCUUCUUCCUGUACAAACAGCCCAGCAUGAGCGUAAGGCCACAGGAGAAUAAGCUGACGUGAAUUUCUAUGUCUAUUUACAAAAAGCAUGUUUUACAUACGUGUGUGUACACACACAUAUACAUACACCCACACGAUCCUCCUAGCGUGCUGAAAUUUCUAAGUACAGAGGUACGUUUGCAUCCAUCCAUCUACACAUCAUUAAAAAUAAAAAAAAGAGAACUGGCGUCUGGGGGCUGCUUUCGGGGACAGAACCUGCCCACGUGGGUGGCCAGCUCACUGCCUGCAGGGUGUGACCUGAAGACAGACCGUCUGCAUUUCCUGUGCCUGUCACUCGCACCCAGCAGGUCCUCAGGCCAGCACCUCACGUCUGCCCCUCCUCGCCCAGCUCCUCAGGCCUGUGCAGGCCCACUGGGCAGAGUUGGCGGUGAGUGACAGGCACGGGAGGAGAAGCCGAUGGGGUGGAGAGGGACCCCCAGGUGACACGAGGAAGAACAGCCCACUGACAGACACCUGGCGACUCGGUCACUGCCCAAACAUUCCCAGCCCCUCCUGCCAACACAGGACCUGAAGGCCUGGGAGGGUCCCUCUCCCCAAGCAGAGGACGGACAGCGAGAGGAAGACAGAGGGGCCACCGUCCCCAGGCCAAACAGACGCCUGGCUAACAGCCGUCUGUGAGAGGGCCCAGGCCCUCCGGGGUGGCGGUUGCCCAGGUGACGUGAGGGAAGAGGCCGAACGUGAAGGAGAAACAGGUAUUUCAGAGAAGUGACACGUGUCCCUGCCUUGAUCAAUCACCAAGAAUAUCCUAAAUGCAAGGAAGUAAAGUUUUAAAAAACCGAAAAAUUAAAUGGACUUUGGAAGGCACUUAAAACCCCAAAUCUAGCUCACUUUCAAGAUCAUCAUUCAACACACCCUGGCUCAAGACGAGGGGGACCCACGUGAAUGGAUUUAGCAACGCAAGCCACCCCUGCCUUGGGGCAUCAUGUUCUUACCAAAUGCAAAACUGCCGGACACACUCAAUCUCGCCCCGGAGAAGUCCCAGCCUGAACCCACAGAGACCGAGCGUGGGCCACAAACAAGCGCCCACAGCCUCGGUGCCUUGGCACACUGGCCCGGCCGCCCACCUG